UUGGUCCGAACAGCAGCCAGGAGCAAUUUAUCAGACCACCCGUGAAGCUGGACCUGCUAGGAAGAUCCUUUGGAGGCCACACCUGCCAUCUCAGACUAGCCUUGCUUCACAGUAGUAACUGAGAGACAGAAAGGGGUCAGGGCAGCUCCAGGGGCAGAGCCCCUGCUAGGGAGGAGAACAUUGGGUUGUUGGCCAUAGAAUUAGGAAGGAUAACUAUAGCAGCAGCUCUAGGGUGGGCCUACCUGGUCAGAUGCUUAAAAUGACUGUCUCCAGUGGUUCUUCCUGAAGCUCAGGCAGGGUAAACACUGGUGGGGAGGAAAGAUAUUAAGAAGCAGCUUUGUAACACAAAGGUGAUGGUAGGUCAGGAGACCGAUUCAGGUCCAACGAGGCCCUAGGAAGUGAGCUAACUGAACUUCAGAGUUUAGCAAGUUGGUGGAGGAAGGGACUUUGUCUUUUGCUUAGGUAGGUGGCUGAAUUAGUACUUAAAUAAUGAGCGGGUUCUUCAGUGAGAAAGGAAAGAUGCUGGAGAGCAAGGCUGCUGGGGCCCAAGAUGCUGAUGACAGAGUGGACACCCUAAACACCCUGCACCAGAAGCCAGAAGAGUAGGCUAGGGGGUCUCAGCCAGCUUUCACCCAGUAUCUUUGCAAAUUAUAGAUUGUACACAGCUCCUUCUCUGUCCAUAAAGGAAAUGGCAUGUGCAGGGUCUCACUUCUCUCUUGAGAGCUGCUAAGGUCUAACAAGAGUAAGCUAAGAGUGUGUUCUCUUCUAGAAAGUGGAGACCUUUGCUAUUCUUUAGGAAGGACUUUCUGGCUGGAGAGGAAAGGGAGCCUUUCAGCAAGAAUCCCAGAGGCCAGGAAUCCUUAGGCACUUGCUUAGAGAUGCGAGAGACCAGGAGGCAUCCAACCUGGGUGCCGAGGUGCUGUGGACAGCAAAGGAGACAAGCGGCUCCACUCUGGAAGACAGCAGUGUCUAGACAAACAUGAUUGUUAGGAAAAGGAAAAUCCCAGAGUCUUAUGUGUGGUGCCAGAAGGCGGGAUGUUAUGAUGCAUAGUGAGCCUCAGUCAUUUGAGCUUUGGUUCACUAAAGCAGAGAAGAGUCCCAUGGCUGCUGAGAAGGCAGACUCUGGACGGAGCUGCAAGGGCUGGUGGUGUCCCGUCUCGUGGGAGCAAAGGUAACAAACUACAAAUAAAGGGACACUGCUACACUCUCACCUGCACCAUGUACUAUGGCACAUGCUCCAAAAACCGUCUGUGAGAAGAAGCAUCUCUCCUCACUAAGGCCAGGCAACCUGCUUCCUCACACUUGUGCACAAACCUUCAGCCUGAGGCUCCUUCCAGAGUCUCUUCCCUGGCCUGGGUUUCUGCAAAGACCAUGGCCAAGUACAGAAGCUCAUGGCUGUGGCACCAGGACCACAGCAAGGCAACAUAGGAAGCGUGUGUCUUGAGUCCUGUCAACAUUUACAACGUGCUGUGUAUACUCAACAAGGCCCUCUCUUAUUUCAUACCCCAUAAUGAGUCAGCCACGGCUGCAGACAUUACAACCAUCUUCUGCUCCCAGGAAGAUUGCUGUCUCCAGAGAUGGAUGGGACUUGCCAGAGUUGGAAACCUAGAAGGUGGCAGCGCAGUACUUCAGGCAGAGAAGAAUGGCAGCCUGUGCCCUAGUGCGAGCCAUACAGAAUAGAGAGGAAAGUUGACAUUAUGACAUCUAUCCCAGAGAUAAGAUGUCUCAGGAAACUCUGUCGUUCCCAAACUGCCUUUCAGGGAAAGGUCCCAACCACAUCCCCGACUUCUGUCAGCUUCGCAGACCACCAGGAUCCUGAUGGCAUACCUUGAAUCGGAGUCCCAAAUGCAAGAAGGCCUACAGGGCCUUGGCCUGGACUCAGAACUUUCCAGAGGAGACUGACUUUCUCAGAGCCUGACUGUCCACUCCACCAAUGGGUAUCACGAGAUAAAUAAAUGUUGGUCACCUGC